rnacentral:rRNA from 1 species
UACGAACUGUGCGAACGUUAUUCGGAAUCACUGGGCUUACAGGGUGUGUAGGCGGCUUGUUAAGUAGGGUGUGAAAGCCCCCGGCUCAACCGGGGAAUUGCGCCCUAAACUGGCGAGCUGGAGUGAGAUAGGGGUGUGUGGAACUUCCGGUGGAGCGGUGAAAUGUGUUGAUAUCGGAAGGAACGCCGGUGGCGAAAGCGACACACUGGAUCUUGUCUGACGCUGAGGCACGAAAGCCAGGGGAGCGAACGGG